rnacentral:lncRNA from 1 species
AUCCUGUUGGCUGCCUUCCCAGGGCUGGGAAUGAGUGUUGCUUUACUGGGACCCACAUUUCAAUAUUUUGCCACAAGUUUGAACCAAAAUAUUAGUCAUCUUCCUUUAAUUUUUGUGGGCCCUACCUUUGAGUGGCUCUGUGAUUGGUGGAGUUCUUUUUGACAUCAUGAUUUUUUUUUUUUUUUUUUUUUUUUUUUACUUUUGAAAGUGUCAGUGUUGGCUACCACAGUUUGUCUUUAUCUUGUUUAUUUUUUCAAGACAGCUCUAUUACUGAUUGUCAUGAUGUCUAUCUUUGGUACUUCAAUUUGCAUUCUGGAUACAGGUGGUGAUGUCCCUAUCUUGGCUGUUUGAAGAACAUAGGAUCUCCACAUAUGUAGGCAUAUUACACUUCUGUUUUGCCUUGGGUGCCUUUUUGGCUCCACUGCUAGCUAAACUGGCAUUGGGUACGAGAGUGUCUGUGAAAACCACGCAGUCUGACUUUCACCAUCCUGCACUGACGCUGACUCAGAAUCUCUGUUUGGAGGACCUGAAGUUAUGUGUUUACUGUGGUCUUAUGCUCUGAACAGUACUUAUAUUUUUGUAGGUCCUAUCUUUGUUUUUGCUCUGUUUUUAAAGAUAAGCUCAAGGUGAGGAAAAGCAAAAGCAUCUGCUCAGACAUCUCAAAGAACUAAAUAUCACAAUGCCAUUUUUUGUCUCCUUUUUCUGUUCUUCAUUUCUUAUGUUGGAGCUGAGGUAACAUAUAGCUCCUACAUUUUCUCAUGUGCAGCCAUUCACGCUAUUGUGAAAUAAAGUGAGGCUACUGGGUUGAACUCCAUCUUCUGGGGGACCUUUAUGUCCUUCAGGGGACUGGUAAUGUUUUUUGCUACAUUUUACAUCCUGGAACCAUGAUUGUGUCAAGCAAGAUUGGCAGCCUGCCUUCAUCUUUAUAUCUUGUGCUUUUUGGCAAGAGCCUGGUUUGUCUUUGUAUAGUAAUUCCAGUGUAUGGGGCCCUGAUGGAAACUACAUUUUCCAGUGGUGCUUCUUAGAUUGCACAGUACAUGAUCACACAUGAGAAAUUUGCAGCAUUUUUUGUAAUCAGUGCUGUCCUAGAAGAAGUGGCUACUUCUGUAGAAAUUGGAUUUUUUCCAAAGAAAAUACCCUGAUUUGCCUGUAGUUCUGUAUACAUCUGUUUGGGCGUAUUGAUAGCCACUGGUGUUUUAUUUCCUGGGAUGUAUGAAUUAGCCACUUCACCUCUUAAUCACCAGAGAAAAGUAAACAGAAAGAGUGAGGUCCAGAUACUUUUGCUCUCCAGGUCUGGGCUAAAUGACUAUGAGGAAGAGAAAUGAAGAGGAAGAUGCAGAAAAAUUGAAUGAAAUCCAUUUUGAAGUGACUGAAAUGAAUGAUAAAAUGAAACAUUCUAAUAGGUACAUCUAGAGAUAUUUUGAUAGAGGCCACAGCUGAAGUCUCUGACCAAUCCCUCUCAAACGUUUUGGUGUUUGAGUCCUCCUUGGUUAAUACUGGCAACUCCCCUGUGAGGCACUUGUCAGAAACCGGGAUAACAGGAACUGUUAGU